GUAUUCCGCUCCAUAGCGUAUAUUAAAGUUGUUGCAGUUAAAAAGCUCGUAGUUGAAUUUCGGGAUCAAUAUGUCGGUCGUGCUUCGGUACGUACUGGCGUAAUUGGUUUCUCCCUUCUGAAGAACCGCGAUGUCAUUAAUUUGGUGUCGUGGGGAAUCAGGACUGUUACUUUGAAAAAAUUAGAGUGUUUAAAGCAGGCUCGCGCUUGAAUACAUUAGCAUGGAAUAAUGAAAUAGGACGUUUGAUUCUAUUUUGUUGGUUUCUAGGAUCGACGUAAUGAUUAAUAGGGAUAGUUGGGGGCAUUAGUAUUCAAUUGUCAGAGGUGAAAUUCUUGGAUUUAUUGAAGACUAACUACUGCGAAAGCAUUUGCCAAGGAUGCUUUCAUUAAUCAAGAACGAAAGUUAGGGGAUCGAAGACGAUCAGAUACCGUCGUAGUCUUAACCAUAAACUAUGCCGACUAGGGAUCGGAUGAUGUUGAUUUUUUAAUGACUCAUUCGGCACCUUACGGGAAACAA
rnacentral:rRNA from 1 species